rnacentral:rRNA from 1 species
AUACGGAGGAUCCGAGCGUUAUCCGGAUUUAUUGGGUUUAAAGGGUGCGCAGGCGGCCAUUUAAGUCAGCGGUUAAAUCGUGGGGCUCAACCCCAUUCUGCCGUUGAUACUGGGUGGCUUGAUUGCGGUCGAGGUUGGCGGAAUUCGUUGUGUAGCGGUGCAAUGCAUAGAUAUGACGAAGAACACCGAUUGCGUAGGCAGCUGACCAGAUCGCAAAUGACGCUCAUGCACGAAAGUGCGGGGAUCGAACAGGAUUAGAUACCCUGGUAGUCCGCACAGUAAACGAUGAAUACUUGUUUUCGGCGAUAUAAUGUCGGAGGCAAAGCGAAAGCGAUAAGUAUUCCACCUGGGGAGUACGCCGGCAACGGUGAAACUCAAAGGAAUUGACGGGG